CCUACGGGAGGCAGCAGUGAGGAAUAUUGGUCAAUGGACGCGAGUCUGAACCAGUCAAGUAGCGUGCAGGAUGACUGCCCUAUGGGUUGUAAACUUCUUUUAUAUGAGGAUAAACUGUUCCACGUGUGGGCUUUUGUAUGUACCAUAUGAAUAAGGAUCGGCUAACUCCGUGCCAGCAGCCGCGGUAAUACGGAGGAUCCGAGCGUUAUCCGGAUUUAUUGGGUUUAAAGGGUGCGUAGGUGGUUGGUUAAGUCAGUGGUGAAAUUUUGCGGCUCAACCGUGAAAUUGCCGUUGAAACUGGCAGGCUUGAGAGUAGUAGAGGUGGGCGGAAUGCGUGGUGUAGCGGUGAAAUGCUUAGAUAGCAUGAAGAACGCCGAUUGCGAAGGCAGCUUACUGGACUGCAACUGACACUGAGGCUCGAAAGUGUGGGUAGCAAACAGGAUUAGAUACCCUUGUAGUC
rnacentral:rRNA from 1 species